rnacentral:rRNA from 1 species
UACGUAGGGGGCUAGCGUUGUCCGGAAUCAUUGGGCGUAAAGCGCGUGUAGGCGGCCCGGUAAGUCCGCUGUGAAAGUCGGGGGCUCAACCCUCAGAUGCCGGUGGAUACUGUCGGGCUCGAGUACGGAAGAGGCGAGUGGAAUUCCUGGUGUAGCGGUGAAAUGCGCAGAUAUCAGGAGGAACACCGAUUGCGAAGGCAGCUCGCUGGGACGUGACUGACGCUGAGACGCGAAGGCGUGGGGAGCAAACAGG